rnacentral:lncRNA from 1 species
AAUUUGAAACAAAUCUGUUACUUUAUCAACCACAAGAUAAUUUAUUUCCUUUAAAUGGCUCAAAUUAAGCAUCUGUUUGUUUCUUUUUUCUAAAAAAAAUACUUUUUAACCCCAAAUGGCCAAAUUCACUAUUUUUCCAGAAAAACGGCCAGAGGGCUCAUUAGAUACGCAUGCUGCACGGUCCUUUAUAAUUUGGAAUCAAAUGAUGAGUAACAGAAUGAUGAUUAUGGCGUCAAGGGACGGCGGUGGCGGAGGAGGCGUGGGAGGGAGGAGAUCGCAGCCAUCAACAACUUCGGUGUCGGCGUAUUUGAGUUGUGUUGGAAUUUGGUUUAAAGAUUGAAAAUUUUGAAGUAUAAAAUAUGGAAAGUGACUUUGUGUCAAUUUCAGCCAUAUAUUCGGAUUUGAUGGGAUAGUCAAAUUAUAAAUGUAAAUAGAGUAACUUGUUCUACUAGUAGAUCAUCUUGUAUAUUUGGAAUUUAAAAAUAUCUUGUAUAUUUGGAAUUUAAAAAUCAAUUCCUGAUGAAUGAGAAAUUGCAAUCCAACGUUGGAAAGAAAAGAGGAAAAAUUGGCAGGUAAAUUUGCCUAACUUUUAUUUUAGAAGUUAUCCAAUCUUCACCUAUUGAGAAACUAUUUAUUUUGGAAGUUACACAUUUACUUAUAAGCAAUCUUUUAAGUUUGGCCGAAAAUGCUGUAGUACCUUCAUACCCUGUGCUUGAAAGGUUAUACACUGAAAUGUAAUACUAGUACAUGUGCUGCAAAGGUUUUCACCAUGCAAUGCCUAGACGAUUAUUGAGCGAAAUUAUGAAGUUCUGUCUAUGUUGUAGGAGAUCAGAUUAUGUUUUUCCUUUCGUUUUGAGGAUGUUAGUUUGAAAUUAUGAAUCUUUCCACUCUUUGUUAUUUCGGUUGAAAUUCUUCCUUCUGAUAUGUGCACAGUGGCUUGAGAAUAAAAUUAGAAACUUGAUUCAAUUGUUUAAAAACAAAAAGAUCUCCACCUGAUUUCCUUAUAUUCUUGAAGCUCCAGGUGGCUGCAAUAGGAUUUUGUGAAUUAUGCGCGUUCCAUUUCCAGCCCUUUCAUAUGCACAGCUUGUUUAGUUGCUUUGACUGUUAAUUGUCCAUACAUAAAUGAAUAUGAAUACGCAAAAGUUUCAAGAAUUAGCAUUUUGAUUAGUAGGCAAGUAUUAUGGAACUGAACAAUUUUUUCAUUUUAUCUAUUUUUUCAGGGACGCCAUAUGAAGGAGGCAUAUUUUUUCUCAAUAUAACAUUUUCUAGUGAUUAUCCGUUUAAACCUCCCAAGGUAAUGCUACAUAACACUCGGAUCACUGACGAUCACCAAGUAGUCUAUUCAUGAUAUUUGUCCUUGAACAACAGGAUUUCCUAUAUCUUGCUUAAUUUUUAUUUUGGAAUAAUGUAGUCUAUGGAUUAUGAUUGGUGGAUGGCCCUUUUCCUUAAUUAGAUAACUUAAGAUUUUGAUAUUUUUUAAUACAUUCUGGGCUAAAAUCAAAAGGUUCAUCUAGCAAGUGUUAACAUUUCACUCUUAGAGGGCCUUGGGCUUUUAGCAUGUGGCCAGUUCCACCUAGACAUACCUUUGCAAUUCUAUCCAUAAGAAGGAUAAGUAAAUCCAGUUGUAUGUCAACUAGGAAGUUCUGAAUUACAGUGUUUGGUUUGAAUUGCAUUUACUUAGAUUGUAAUGUAAGUUCUAUUGAAUGCGACUAAUAUUUGUGAAAUACAAAAUUUUCAAGUUUUUGAAUUACAAUCGAGUUUAUUGGAGUUCUCAUACCAGAAUAUUUUUCAAAAGUAUUCCUGAGGAUUAACUUUGGGGUAUAAAAAAUGGUUACCUCUCUUGGUCUCAAUCCUCAAGUCAUUAUGAUUCUCCCAUACACCUCACCUUUUUCUUUCGUCCUCUGUAUAAUGUUCAUUGUUCUCCCUCCUUUUAAUAUUGACUUUUGACCCCAGGCUUGCAGGUAGUAUUUAAGCCUUUGUUUGGAGCCGAUUUUUUAGGUCAGAAAAAUUCAUUUUUGACCGUUAUCUUUCCAAAUGGGUUCCAACCGUGAGAGACAAAGUCAACAAAAAUGACUUAGACAGGUGACCAACGGUACAAAAAUUCAUCUUUUUCCCCUUAAAAUCGGNAACCGUAAGUAUAAAGAGGCAACUGAUCGGCAUCGACGUCCUGUUGAGUUUGACGUUGGGGAUUAUGUUUGGGCGGUACUGACUAAGGAUCGAGUGCCAUCUCAUGAGCAUUCGAAGUUAUCACCUCGUACCAUUGGUCCAGUGGAAAUUGUGGAGAAGAUCAACCCCAACGCCUAUCGCCUUCGACUUCCUUCCCAUAUACGGACUUCUGAUGUGUUUAAUGUAAAGCAUCUUUUGCCAUACCAUGGAGACAACGUGGGAGAUAGUGCUACCGGUUCUGAUUCGAGGGCGAAUCCCAUUGAUCCCGGGGAGAAUGAUGAGGUUUAUGUGGAGGAACAUGCAUUGUCAUGCAUGGAACAGUUGGAUGGUCGGCUUUCAAAGAAAUUGAUGUAACUUUUGCGUUUGGUGUCCGUUUUGGGCCCAUAACCCCAUUUCGAAAAGGUAGCAAGCGUUUCGGAUUGAACUCACAGCCUCGCGGUGACGUACGAGGGUUUUUGGACAUUUGAAGUCGUCUAGUGUGUCAAAACAGCAUUUUAAGUUUUUGUGUUAUUUAUUUUCAGCAUUUGUUAUUUCCAUUUUAUAGCCCAGCCCAUUUUGGGACUGUUGGCCCAGUAGGUUAUCUUUUCUUUCAUAUUUAAGACGCUGCAAGACGUCUACUAGGGUUUUUCUUGGUUGUUCACGAAAUAAUAAAAUUUUGUUUCUGAAUUCAAUCCGUUUGGUUAUUAUUGUCAUGUGUUUGUAGAUUCAAUCUACUUCACGAUCACCAAGUAGUCUAUUCAUGAUAUUUGUCCUUGAACAACAGGAUUUCCUAUAUCUUGCUUAAUUUUUAUUUUGGAGUAAUGUAGUCUAUGGAUUAUGAUUGGUGGAUGGCCCUUUUCCUUAAUUAGAUAACUUAAGAUUUUGAUAUUUUUUAAUACAUUCUGGGGUAAAAUCAAAAGGUUCAUCGAGCAAGUGUUAAAAUUUUACUCUUAGAGGGCCUUGGGCUUUCAGUAUUUGGCCAGUUCCACCUAGACAUACCUUUGCAAUUCUAUCCAUAAGAAGGAUAAGUAAAUCCAGUUGUAUGUCAACUAGGAAGUUCUGAAUUACAGUGUUUGGUUUGAAUAUCAUUUACUGAGAUUGUAAUGUAAGUUCUAUUGAAUGCAACUAAUUUUUGUGAAAUACAAAAUUUUCAAGUUUUUGAAUUACAAUUGAGUUUAUUGGAGUUCUCAUACCAGAAUAUUUUUCAAAAGUAUUCCUGAGGAUCAACUUUGGGGUAUAAAAAAUGGUUACCUCUCUUGGUCUCAACCCUCAAGUCAUUAUGAUUCUCCCAUACACCUUACCUUUUUCUUUCGUCCUCUGUAUAAUGUUCAUUGUUCUCCCUCCUUUUAAUAUUGACUUUUGACCCCAGGCUUGCAGGUAGUAUUUAAGCCUUUGUUUGGUGCCAAUUUUUUAGGUCAGAAAAAUUCAUUUUUGAUCGUUAUCUUUCCAGAUGGGUUCCAACCGUGAGAGACAAAGUCAACAAAAACGACUGAGACAGGUGACCAACGGUACAAAAAUUCAUCUUUUUCUCCUUAAAAUCGGCUCCAAACAGGGGCCAAGGGCAAUGUUAGUUUGGAUAGCCUGAAAGAUGGUUGGAGCCCUACUCUGUCAAUCUCAAAAGUGCUACUUUCACUCAGAUUAAUAUUUACGAACCCUGCACCUUGUAAGUACUUUUAACCUUGACACAUUUCUGUUUGAGCUGAAGAAAAAUAUAACGAAGUGGCUCUCCUCUCUCUUUCCCUGGGUAUGACACG